AUUGAACGCUGGCGGCAGGCCUAACACAUGCAAGUCGAACGAGUGGCGGACGGGUGAGUAAUGUCUGGGAACUUGCCUGACGGAGGGGGAUAACUACUGGAAAGGGUAGCUAAUACCGCAUACCAUCAGAUGUGCCCAGAUGGUCUUAUCUUGUUGGUGGGGUAAGGGCUCACAAAGGCGACGAUCCCUCGCUGGUCUGAGAGGAUGCCCAGCCCCACGGGAACUGUGGCACGGUCCAACCUCCUAGGGGAGGCAGCGGUGGGGAAUAGUGCACUAUGGGCGCAAGCCUGAUGCAGCCAUGCCGCGUGUAUGAAGAAGGCCUUCGGGUUGUAAAGUACUUUCAGCGGGGAGGCGUUAGCCGCAGAAGAAGCACCGGCUAACUCCGUGCCAGCAGCCGCAGUAAUAC
rnacentral:rRNA from 1 species